AUUAAAUACGUCCGAAACAUUCAAUUAUAAACAAUAUAAUUAAAACGCAACGAGAUUCAUAAAAACGUUUUUCUACUAAUAUACUAUAAAUGAAGUUAGCAUAAAAUGAUAAAAGUUUUUGAAUACCUUAUGCCGUCUUCGUAUUAAAUCAGUUUUAAUUGGCAAUUCAUCCAGUGAGAGUAGCCCAGCUGGCUACAGUACUUCGAUUCGAUUCUUCAAAGCAUCAAUAAAUGGAAAGGCAUUCAAUAUAUUGUUUUAUAUUUAGAAUUCAAAUUUUAUUUAAAUGAAGGCAAAUUUAAAAUAAAAAAUGCAAUAAGGGUUUUUUUGUUCAAAAAUUUUAUUAUGAAGUACAUUAAUUAAUCAUA
rnacentral:lncRNA from 1 species